AGCAGCCGCGGUAAUUCCAGCUCCAAUAGCGUAUAUUAAAGUUGUUGCAGUUAAAAAGCUCGUAGUUGAAUUUCGGGAUUAGUACGUCGGUCGUGCCUUAGGUACGUACUGGUGUUACUGGUUCCUACCUUCUGACGAACCAUCAUGUCAUUAAUUUGGUGUGGUGGGGAAUCAGGACUGUUACUUUGAAAAAAUUAGAGUGUUUAAAGCAGGCUCGCGCUUGAAUACAUUAGCAUGGAAUAAUGAAAUAGGACGUUGAUCCUUUUUUUUUGGUUUUU
rnacentral:rRNA from 1 species